rnacentral:lncRNA from 1 species
GGAAGGAUUUGGCUUGGCUUCUUGGAGGAGGUGGAUUAUGAGCCAGACUUCAAAGAAUGGGAAGGAUUUGGUCCAGGGAAAAACCGGGAGAAGAGGUCAUUGCGGAAACAAAGGCCGACAUGCUGCACAGGCCAGGCCCACUGCAACCCGACCCAUGAGACCCAUGCUUUUCCCAGGCUACCUCCCUGCCCCUGGAGUUACAGGUUUGGAAUAUUCUGCAUGGACAGGAUGUCAGGAGCAAUGGAGCACCAGUGUUAGGAGAACCUACCUCCCCUGGCUCCAUCAAAGCCACAGACCCAUGAGAACCAUCCAGCCUAGCCUGAGCCACACGCCCGGAGGCCACAGCCUGUGUGCAGGAAAGUGAGAGGAAGUGGAAACGUGUGAGCAGAGGGCUCAAAGCAACGGGCUCACCACCGGAAAAAAAAAUAAAAAUAAACACGCUCAGAAAUAGUGUAACUGAUAUGCAAAGAAGAUCAAAACAAGGGUUUUAAAAUAUCUUGGCUGCUUUAGAGGGGGUAGGGAUGGUAAAUGAAGCGAGGUUGCAAAUGUAUGUUAGGGGAGGGGGGCGGUUAAGGAUGAUUGACAGCAGCCUGCCAGGCCAUGGAAGCCUGGAACCCAAGGGUACUUCAGACAAAAAU